rnacentral:rRNA from 1 species
CCAGCACCCCGAGUGGUCGGGACGAUUAUUGGGCCUAAAGCAUCCGUAGCCGGUUUUACAAGUCCUCCGUUAAAUCCAACUGCUUAACAGAUGGGCCGCGGAGGAUACUAUAAGACUAGGAGGCAGGAGAGGCAAGCGGUACUCAGUGGGUAGGGGUAAAAUCCGUUGAUCCAUUGAAGACCACCAGUGGCGAAGGCGGCUUGCCAGAAUGCGCUCGACGGUGAGGGAUGAAAGCUGGGGGAGCAAACCGGAUUAGAUACCCGGGUAGUCCCAGCUGUAAACGAUGCAGACUCGGUGAUGGACUAGCUUCAUGCUAGUCCAGUGCCGCAGGGAGCCGUUAAGUCUGCCGCCUGGGUAGUACGGUCGCAAGACUG